rnacentral:rRNA from 1 species
GACGAACGCUGGCGGCGUGCUUAACACAUGCAAGUCGAACGGUGAAGCGCCUUCCUUUUUGGUGGGUGUGGAUGAGUGGCGAACGGGUGAGUAACACGUGAGUAACCUGCCCCCUUCUUCUGGAUAACCGCAUGAAAGUGUGGCUAAUACGGGAUAUUCUGGGUCUGUCGCAUGAUGGGUCUGGGAAAGAUAUUGUUUCGGUGGGGGAUGGGCUCGCGGCCUAUCAGCUUGUUGGUGGGGUGAUGGCCUACCAAGGCGGUGACGGGUAGCCGGCCUGAGAGGGUGGACGGUCACACUGGGACUGAGACACGGCCCAGACUCCUACGGGAGGCAGCAGUGGGGAAGAUUGCACAAUGGGCGCAAGCCUGAUGCAGCGACGCCGCGUGAGGGAUGGAGGCCUUCGGGUUGUGAACCUCUUUCGCCAGUGAAGCAGGCCUGCCUCGUUUGUGGGUGGGUGGACGGUAGCUGGAUAAGAAGCGCCGGCUAACUACGU